rnacentral:rRNA from 1 species
UACGUAGGGUGCAAGCGUUGUCCGGAAUUAUUGGGCGUAAAGAGCUCGUAGGCGGUCUGUCGCGUCUGCUGUGAAAACUCAGGGCUUAACCCUGAGCUUGCAGUGGGUACGGGCAGACUAGAGUGCGGUAGGGGAGACUGGAAUUCCUGGUGUAGCGGUGAAAUGCGCAGAUAUCAGGAGGAACACCGAUGGCGAAGGCAGGUCUCUGGGACGUAACUGACGCUGGAGAACGCGAAAGCGUGGGGAGCAAACAGG